rnacentral:ncRNA from 1 species
CAAUAUGGCAAACUUUAGGAAACUAAAGGACGCAAAGCUAUAGGGCCUUAUUUAAAAUGGCAGCCAGUUGC